ACAAAUAUAUGCUGUAAUUAGGUGGUGUUGCAGGAAAAAAGAAAGUAAGAGGAAAUGCUUGUUGGAGGUGUGGGGGAUUUCUGUUUUAUCUGGGAUAGCCAACAUUACAGAUUGGUUACUGUUUGAGCAGAGCCAUGAAGGAAGCAUGAUUGAAGCAGAGAGGCAAAAGAGGUUGUAAGGCAGAGGGAAUGGAAGGGAAAAGCCCUUGCUUGCGGGGAGGGAAGAGAGGAGAGGGUAAGUGCUGAGGUCAGUGAUGACCCCAUAUUUUAUAGUUAGGACCAACCUUUGGCUUUUCCACUGAGUAAGAUGAAGACACUGGAUGGUGAUCAGAGGAUAUAUGAUUCAGUGUAAAAUUUCUAUAGUGGCUCUGGUUUCUUUGAGAGAGGCAAUAGCAGACCUUCCAGUUAGGCCAGAAGAUGUUGUACCAGCCUAUAUGUGAGAAGAGCAAUACAGCUGGGUACAUGUGGGCAUGGAGAGACCAUGAGAAAUGAUAGGCCAUGACCCUGGGGUUUUGGACACAUGAAGUUUGAAAUUCAUUAGACAUUCAGUAGGGAAUGGGGAGUGGAAUAUAUAUAUAUAUAUAUAUACAUACAUACAUACAUACAUACAUACACACACACACACACACACAGUUUGAGAGUUCAGGAGAAAGGUCUGGGAUGGGAGAUAUAAAUAUGAGUUAUAUAUACAUGGUGAUAGUAAUUAGAGCCAUGAACCUGGAUGAGAUCAAAGGGCUAAAGAUGAAAAAGAUUGUGAGGACAGAGCCCUGGUUGUUCCACUAUAUAAAAAUUGGCAAAUGUGGGAGAAAAUGUUGGCAAAUGAAGAUGGACUUGAGAAGGAGCUCUAGAGAGAGUGGCCAGUGAGGCAGAAGGAAGUCCAGAAGACAGGUACCCUAGAAACCAAUGAAAAUAAAUUUGAGAAAGGAUUGAUCAGUGAGUCAGAAACAGUUAAUGAAUUGUAGAAGAUGAGUACUGAAAGAAGACUAACAAUGUAGAGGUUGUUAACCUUGUCAAGAAAUAAUUCUGUAUUCUGGUGGAGCAAAACCUGAUUAGAGUGGUUCAUGAAAGAGCAGGAGAGAAAUGGACACACUUGUACAUGUAAUUUUUUUUAAAAAUAUUUUUGCUGAAAACCAAAGCAGAGAAAGAAGGGUCACACGUUGAGGAGUCUGUAGGAUGAAAUUUAGGGAUAAUUUUCUCCUAAAUUCUCAUUUGAAAAUAUUGAAACAUAGAAAAAUGAAAGAGUAGUAUAUAUAUAUUCACUUCCUAGAUAAGUUUAAUAUUUUGCCAUAUUUUGUAUGUAAAUGUGUAUGUGUUGUUUUGAAUUAUUUUGAAGUUGAAAAUUAUAAGCAUCAUCAUGGCAUUUUUAUCCUUCAGUAUUAUGGUGUGUAUCUCCUAACAAUAGAUAUUUUGAUAUAAAAUCAUUUAGCAAAUUUAAGAAAAUUGUAGUAAUUCCCAAAUAUUAUUUGAUAUUUAGUCCAUACUCAAUUUUCCCAUUUGUUCCUGAUGUAUUUGGUUUCAAAUGUUUGUUUGUUUUUUUUGAACCAGGAUCCAGCCAAGAUUCACACAUUGCAUUUGAUUGUUAUGUCUUACUAAUGUUUUAAAGCCAAGAACCAUUUCUCCAGUUUUCAUGACAUUGACUUUUGAAGAGACCAGGCUAGUUGUCUUAUCCCAUGAUAUGAAUUUGUUUGUUUCCUUGUGGUGUUUCCUUAUUUGUUUCAAAGAAAAGAUUUGAAGUAAUAUAGUGUGUCUGUAAGCUGAUGGGAAAGAUCUGGUCUCUGCAUGUGUUGCAUAUUGUAGACUUUGAAAACUUUUAAUAUGGUGGGGCUAAAAUGUUUACAUUGGGAGAUUUUAUGGAGAAAAGAUUAUUUCAUUGAUGUCUUUCUCCAGAAAAUAACACUUUAAAGAGUAUUCUGUGGGUAAUCAAUGAUUGAUAUGGACAAUUUUUUUUAAGUUGUUUAUGCAUCUUUAUUUUAUUUAUUUGUAUAUGGUGUUGAGAAUUGAACCCAGUGCUUCACACAUGCUAGGCAAGUGCUCUACCACUGAGCUACAACCCAGUUGUUUCAGUGUAAAUGUUUUCUGUUUCUUGAAAAGGGGAAGGGAAGGAAAAUUUGUUUUUCUUAAGUGCCUACAUAGUUUCACUUCUCUUUUUCUUACUAGUGGGAAAGGGCUUUUUUAAGAUUUGACUAUGAAACAAAGCACUUAAACUUUGCUUGAAUGGGUAUGAUCUUCUUACCAGUCAUUUUACAGUAUUA
rnacentral:lncRNA from 1 species